GACGAACGCUGGCGGCGUGCUUAACACAUGCCAGUCGAACGGAAAGGCCCUGCUUUUGUGGGGUGCUCGAGUGGCGAACGGGUGAGUAACACGUGAGUAACCUGCCCUUGACUUUGGGAUAACUUCAGGAAACUGGGGCUAAUACCGGAUAGGAGCUCCUGCUGCAUGGUGGGGGUUGGAAAGUUUCGGCGGUUGGGGAUGGACUCGCGGCUUAUCAGCUUGUUGGUGGGGUAGUGGCUUACCAAGGCUUUGACGGGUAGCCGGCCUGAGAGGGUGACCGGCCACAUUGGGACUGAGAUACGGCCCAGACUCCUACGGUAGGCAGCAGUGGGGAAUAUUGCACAAUGGGCGGAAGCCUGAUGCAGCAACGCCGCGUGCGGGAUGACGGCCUUCGGGUUGUAAACCGCUUUCGCCUGUGACGAAGCGUGAGUGACGGUAAUGGGUAAAGAAGCACCGGCUAACUACGUG
rnacentral:rRNA from 1 species